CAGUUGAUGAGGCAGGAGCAGCUUUUGCACAGUACCUGAUAACUGUUUGAAGUAAAUGGCCAAAGGUAUUUGUGGUUGAUUUUGUGCCGCACUUGACAAUCCAAGCUGACUAUCAGGAGUUGCUCCGACAGGAAUUCCAAUGUGUGGCAGCACGUCUUGGAGUCGAGUAUUACCACCAA